AUGCAUGUCUAAGCACAUGCCUCUGUAUGGUGAAGCCGCGAAUAGCUCAUUACAACAGCCAUCGUUUACUAGAAAAUAGUUGUCCUACUUGGAUAACUGUGGCAAUUCUAGAGCUAAUACAUGCAAAAAAGCUCAGUACCGCAAGGUUUGAGCGCAUUUAUUAGAAUAAAAACCAAUCGGGUCUAACAGCCCGCUCUUUGGUGAAUCUGAAUAACUUUGCUGAUCGCAGGUCUUAGUACCGGCGACGUAUCUUUCAAGUGUCUGCCUUAUCAACUUUCGAUGGUAGGUUAUACGCCUACCAUGGUAGUAACGGGUAACGGAGAAUAAGGGUUCGACUCCGGAGAGGGAGCCUGAGAAACGGCUACCACAUCCAAGGAAGGCAGCAGGCGCGCAAAUUACCCACUUCCAGAACGGAGAGGUAGUGACGAAAAAUAACGAGACAGUCCUCUUCGAGGUCUGUCAUCGGAAUGGGUACAAUUUAAAUCCUUUAACGAGGAUCUAUUGGAGGGCAAGUCUGGUGCCAGCAGCCGCGGUAAUUCCAGCUCCAAUAGCGUAUAUUAAAGUUGUUGCGGUUAAAACGCUCGUAGUUGGAUCUGCGGCCUGAGAGAACGGUCCCCCGAAAGGGCGGUAGCCGUUACUCUUGGCCUAAAUUUUCAGUCUACUCUACGGUGCCCUUAACCGGGUGCUUAGAGUGACUGGAACGUUUACUUUGAAAAAAUUAGAGUGCUUAAAGCAGGCGAAUUCGCCUGAAUAAGGUGCAUGGAAUAAUGGAAUAGGACCUCGGUUCUAUUUUGUUGGUUUUCGGAGCCUGAGGUAAUGAU
rnacentral:rRNA from 1 species